rnacentral:rRNA from 1 species
AGUCGAGCGAGAAAGUUCCUUCGGGAAUGAUUAGAGCGGCGGACGGGUGCGUACAACAUGGAUAACCUACCUUAAGGUCCGGGAUAACCUCGGGAAACCGAAGCUAAUACCGGAUAAGACCACAUUAUCUGCGGAUAAAGGGGUAAAAGUUUUUCGCCUUUUGAUGGGUCCAUGCUCCAUCAGGUUGUUGGUGAGGUAAAAGCUCACCAAGCCUAAGACGGAUAGCCGGCCUUAGCGGGUGAUCGGCCACACGGGGACUGAGACACGGCCCCGACUCCUACGGGAGGCAGCAGUGGGGAAUAUUGGGCAAUGGGCGAAAGCCUGACCCAGCCAUGCCGCGUGAAGGAUGAAGGCCUUUGGGUCGUAAACUUCUGUCAGGAGGGACGAGGGGACUUCGGUCUUGACGGUACCAGAGGAAGCCCCGGCUAACUCCGUGCCAGCAGCCGCGGUAAUACGGAGGGGGCAAGCGUUGCUCGGAUUUACUGGGCGUAAAGGGUCCGCAGGCGGUUGAGUAAGUUAGAUGUGAAAGCUCAAGGCUUAACCUUGAAAAUGCAUCUAAAACUGCUCGACUAGAGUCCAAGAGGGGUCGGCGGAAUUCCCGGUGUAGCGGUGAAAUG